rnacentral:sRNA from 1 species
GUUGAGACGCGCAUGCCGCGAAGCAGUAAAGCAAAAACCCCCGUUCCUCACCAGUUCGGGGGUUUUUGCUUU